rnacentral:sRNA from 1 species
UUGCUAUCUGCGAUAUGGAAGAUUCGAACCUGCCGCAGGUUCGGGUCGAACGCAGUGAGACAACGGAGCCGCUUGCGGCGACGGCCCAAAGGGCGAGCGAAGCGAGUCAUCCUGCACGACCCACCA